CAACAGAAGGAAUGCUGCAAACCUGGGAAAUAGCAAACGGGAUCUCUCAUAGAGGAUACGGCUUUUUAUUACAAAUAAAAUUCCUUUUUUUCAUGCAGGUUAUUCCAAAGCCUAGUGUGCUGAUUGUUCAUUUCAGUCAGCCUGCACCACCUUUUAUCAUCUGUGUCAAAAUGGACCUAACUGGUGGCAGUUUUGAGAGCAACUUGGCUUCUCUAAACCUCGUUGAGGGAAAAGAUUACAUCUUCUUCAGCUGACACUGACAUUGGUGAAACUAAGCACACAAACCUACAACACAAUUGAAGAGGCAAAAAUGGCUCGACUAUUGGACUGUUCGGCCUUCUGCAAUUCUACAUGUUAUUUUUGUAAAUAAAUAGUUUCUUUUGUUUCAAAUACAAAUUUCCAUAUUAAAGAGCGAAAGUGUGAUGUCAUAUCAGACAGAAACCACAACGUUGCAAUUAGUGUUGCACCAAAAGUUGCCAGAAAUUUGGAUAUCUCGUUGUCAUAAUUUUUUCUUUAGUAAUUCGUUGUUAUGUCAAAACAUGGCAGUAAGCCAUUGAACAAACCUUUCUCAUAAAUAUUUCAGUGAAAACAAUUUUGGUUCAGAAUUUCUACAGAGUAACAGAUAAUAAGAACAGUGUCUCCCUGAAAUGACAUCACAGAAACAGCGCCCUUGGUUAUCCACAAGGCAUGAAUUGUUUUUAAUAAUUAAAGAAAGGUAUUUUUCAAUAAACUUAAAGAAGAUUAGAAAAACCAUCCCCCAUUAGAAUGAUCUACUUUGGCAAAAUAAUUAUAAUUGCCUAGAUAAACGCAUUCCCCUUAAAUAAGAGACUUUUAUUAUAACAGAACUUUUAUUUUAAUAGAACUUGAAAAAUGCAUAUUGUGUACUUGCCUUGUCGAUAAUCUUCGCACACCAAAUACAUCCCUUCACCAAAUUCAUUGAAAAUUCCUGUAAUAUAUAAAUCCAGUGAAAAACAAUUAUAUUAUUUUGUUUUCAUAUACCAUGUAAAUACAUCUGAACUGCCUCUUCAAACAAACAAAAAUUGUUGGUCUCACCAUCACAUUUUAAUUUUUCUUAAAGUAUAUUGAUCUUAAUAAUUCAUUAACAUCAUUAUAUCAUUUUGUAUUUUAUUUAUACAGUGAAAUCUCGAUAAGUCAAACUCUGAUAACUCAAAACAACUGUUCAGUCAAACAAAGAAUCCAUUGCCUUCAGUAGUAUAACAAUGAUAUACAACCCUACUAUACUCAAAACUCUGCUUAAGUCAAAUUUUGAACCUGUUUCCUUGAGGUAUGACUUAUCGAGAUUUCACUGUAUUGGUAAUUUGUGUCAAAAAAGUUACGGGUUUUUUACAUUCUUUAAAAUAAAAUGUGUUUGUUUUACUCUAGAAAUAACUAA